rnacentral:rRNA from 1 species
GCAAUGAUAGGUAGGCGGCCUUAACGGGUGGUCGCCCACACUGGGAUUGAGAUACGGCCCAGACUCCUACGGGAGGCAGCAGUCGAGAAUAGUCUACAAUGGUCGGAAGACUGAUAGUGCGACGCCGCGUGAACGAUGAAUCCCUUCGGGGUGUAAAGUUCUUUUAUAUGUGAGCAGUGCUUCUUAUAUUAAGAGUAUGGGGAGAGAGAUAUUAGCAUAUGAAUAAGCAACGGCUAACUCCGUGCCAGCAGCCGCGGUAACACGGGGGUUGCGAGCGUUGUCCGGAAUUACUAGGCGUAAAGGGCAGGCAGGCGGAUCCAUAAGUUUAUCGUUUAAGGCGUCGGCUUAACCGGCGUAGGGCGGUAGAUACUGUGGAUCUGGAAUGCGGUUGGGGAAGACAGAAUUCCUGGUGUAGCGGUGGAAUGCGCAGAGAUCAGGAGGAAUACCGAAGGCGAAGGCAGUCUUCCAAGCCGUUAUUGACGCUCAACUGCGAAGGUGUGGGUAUCAAACAGGAUUAGAUACCCUGGUAGUCCACACAGUAAACGAUAAUCACUGGGUGUCGGGUUCGCAUAGGAUUCGGUGCCGUAGCUAACGC